rnacentral:rRNA from 1 species
GUCGAGAAUUUUUCUCAAUGGGGGAAACCCUGAAGGAGCGACGCCGCGUGGGGGAUGAAGGGCUUCGGCUCGUAAACCCCUGUCAUUUGUGAGCAAGUGUUAUUGUUUAAGAGAUGAUGACAUUGAUAGUAGCAAAAGAGGAAGGGACGGCUAACUCUGUGCCAGCAGCCGCGGUAAUACAGAGGUCCCAAGCGUUGUUCGGAAUCACUGGGCGUAAAGGGUGCGUAGGCGGGAAGGUGUGUCGACCUGUAAAUCUAUCGUUUCAAGCGGUAGGCUUGGGUUGAAACUGCCUUUCUAGAGGAUUUCAGGUGAGUUUGGAAUUUACGGUGUAGCAGUGAAAUGCGUGGAUAUCGUAAGGAAGGCUUGUGGCGAAGGCGAAACUCUGGGGAAUACCUGACGCUGAGGCGCGAAGGCUAGGUUAGCAAACGGGAUUAGAAACCCGGGUAGUCC